AGUGAACGCUGGCGGUAGGCCUAACACAUGCAAGUCGAACGGCAGCACAGUAAGAGCUUGCUCUUACGGGUGGCGAGUGGCGGACGGGUGAGGAAUACAUCGGAAUCUACUUUUUCGUGGGGGAUAACGUAGGGAAACUUACGCUAAUACCGCAUACGACCUACGGGUGAAAGCAGGGGAUCUUCAGACCUUGCGCGAUUGAAUGAGCCGAUGUCGGAUUAGCUAGUUGGCGGGGUAAAGGCCCACCAAGGCGACGAUCCGUAGCUGGUCUGAGAGGAUGAUCAGCCACACUGGAACUGAGACACGGUCCAGACUCCUACGGGAGGCAGCAGUGGGGAAUAUUGGACAAAGGGCGCAAGCCUGAUCCAGCCAUACCGCGUGGGUGAAGAAGGCCUUCGGGUCGUAAAGCCCUUUUGUUGGGAAAGAAAAGCAGCAGGUUAAUACCCCGCUGUUCUGACGGUACCCAAAGAAUAAGCACCGGCUAACUUCGUG
rnacentral:rRNA from 1 species